rnacentral:ncRNA from 1 species
CCUGUGAUUUCUUAGCAGCCAUUCAGUGAAAGCUGAAUCGGAAAACCAGGAGAAUUGACGGGAAGCCUUCGUGUAAACAUGGUAACCCGCAGCCGAGCCCCAAUGAUUUGUUGGGGAAGGUUCAGAGACUAUGCACCUGGAUCCUUCUUCCUAAGUGGAAAUGGAUAAGAGAUAGUCCCGCGUCCCCGCGAAAGCGGGGG